rnacentral:tRNA from 1 species
GUUUUGCUGGGGCUCGGGGCCAUGGUCUCGUGGACCACCAACGUCUCCGACGUGGCACCGGCGGUCGCCACGCUGGGAAAGCC